rnacentral:misc_RNA from 1 species
GAAGAGGCUUUUCUGUUUGUUUGUUUAUCACAAACAAAUUCAUCCUUUCAUCUAUUAGUUCAUAGAAAAUGAAAUUUGAUGGAUAUUUCAGUUGAAAUAAAACCCACGGUUCCUAACUUCCAACAAAGGGGACCCAAUUGGGAAAAUAAUGGGCCCAUCCAUCUACAAACAUUGCAUCGGUUAUGUGAUAUUUUUUGUCAUUAUUCUGAUUUAUUUCACAGCUACAAAUGUUGAACAUAUAUCAAAUGAGUGGAAUUAUUUACCGCCCAAACGCGACAUACAGAUUUGGGCCAAGGCAGCAAUAGCGGAAUACUUAUGGUUUCAUAUUCUAAAUGGGCAUACAGAAUCAUUUUACAAUGGUUUUUACAACAAUGGAAAUAUAACAUUGAACGGAUUGACUUUCUACUAUUUAAGCGGGCCCGGGUACAUCCAGACCACGGUACCACAAACAGUCGAAUAUUUAAUUCUGAUAUUGAACGGGCACACUCUAGAGCAUGUGACCAAUGCGUUGAAUUGGCUCGAAUACAUACCACAAUUGACAUCUCUAAAAAAACUCGCUGUAAUAGUUUUGGGGAGUGAAAACUGUGAAGAUAAUUGGAUAACAAAAUACUUGAAGUCUAAAGGAGGGCCGAUAGAUGUCCUUUUCAUGGUAUACGACAGCCCAUUAAUAGACAACAAAGAAGUUUACCAAUGGCCUUUAGGUGUCGCCACAUACCGACAUUUUCCAAAAUACAACGCAACUCAAGUAAACUUAUUUAAAAAAAGAAAGUACACGUGUAAUUUCGUUGGCACUGUCUACAAAGGAUCUUCAAGGGAGGCUCUAAGGUCAAUUUUGAAUCAUUCAUCAUUCAAGCAUAACUGUUUACUAGUUGAUCGGGAUGUGUGGCCAGCAAAAGAAACAAAAACAAGUUUAAAUCGUUACAUCAAUAUUCUCAAUUCUUCUGACUUUACUUUAUGUCCAACUGGUGCAAACACAGAAUGCUACCGAAUAUAUGAAGCUAUUUCGCUUGGAAGCACACCUAUCGUUGAAGAUGUUAUGACACCUGGGAAAUGCGUAGCGCCAUUGCGCCUAUUAAAAAAAUACAACCCUCCGAUUAUAUUUAUAAAAGAUUGGAGUGAGCUGAAUGGCACGUUGUAUAACAAGAAUAAAUUUAAACUGAAAAGUCAUAGGAUUCACCUUUUAAAAUGGUACAGCAAUUUUAAGAUCAAAAUGGCGAAACACUUCUUACAAGUGAUAACUACCUCUUUUUUCCCUCCGACUCAAACUUAAUAGUUUAUUUCAAACUUAAAAUAAUAAUAAAAAUAAAUAAAUGGAAAAAAAUAAAUAAAAGUUGCUCAGAUAUAUAAAAAUACAUUUCAGUGUAGGCAAAUUAAAUUAUCCUUAAAGCCUUUUAAAUUUGCUAUAUAUGCUUUAAAGUUGCUUCAAUGCUGCCUAUUGAAAAAUGCUUUAAACCAGCAAGAAAGAAUUGUCAUGUAUUUUUUCUAUCAUUUCUAUAUUUUUCCUAUGGAAAAAGCUUGUCUUUCAAUAACACUACUUUUCUUGUACUUCACAUGCUAUGAAGAUGACAGUAGCAGCACAAACUAUUUGCAUACCAUGUUAUUUGGAAUUUUUGACUUCAGGAAAGUGAACAGAAUUUACAAGUGUUUUAGCAUCUAUAACUGCCUGUAGGGGUCUUUGCAUUGGAAUGGACAAGAUUUUUAAUGUAACGCUGGGAGAUUUUUUCCCAUUCUUUGACUAAUAGUUCAUUAAAUUAUUAUAAUCUCUCCCUAAUAUUUUUUAUUCUCUUACUCUUCAGUCGAAGUAGGACCGUAAAUGUUCAGUAAUAUUUAAGUCUGGUGAUUGUGGAAGUGUGAGGAGCUUCAUUAAAAAUUUAGCCACAAAUUUCAGAUCAUUGUCUUGCAAAAAAAAAAAAAUGAACUGGUUUUGUAGCCCUAUUUUUGCAGCACUCACAUUUGUGGUGCAGUAUACAUACACUUCUGCAUUUAUUUAUUUAUUUUUUAUUUUAU